rnacentral:rRNA from 1 species
GAUGAACGCUGGCGGCGUGCCUAAUACAUGCAAGUCGAGCGAACGGACGAGAAGCUUGCUUCUCUGAUGUUAGCGGCGGACGGGUGAGUAACACGUGGAUAACCUACCUAUAAGACUGGGAUAACUUCGGGAAACCGGAGCUAAUACCGGAUAAUAUUUUGAACCGCAUGGUUCAAAAGUGAAAGACGGUCUUGCUGUCACUUAUAGAUGGAUCCGCGCUGCAUUAGCUAGUUGGUAAGGUAACGGCUUACCAAGGCAACGAUGCGUAGCCGACCUGAGAGGGUGAUCGGCCACACUGGAACUGAGACACGGUCCAGACUCCUACGGGAGGCAGCAGUAGGGAAUCUUCCGCAAUGGGCGAAAGCCUGACGGAGCAACGCCGCGUGAGUGAUGAAGGUCUUCGGAUCGUAAAACUCUGUUAUUAGGGAAGAACAUAUGUGUAAGUAACUAUGCACGUCUUGACGGUACCUAAUCAGAAAGCCACGGCUAACUACGUG